AUUGAACGCUGGCGGCAGGCCUAACACAUGCAAGUCGGGCGAGUGGCGGCCGGGUGAGUAAGGGCUGGGGAUCUGCCUGAUGGAGGGGGAUAACGACUGGAAACGGUAGCUAAUACCGCAUACCAUCAGAGGAAACCAUAUGGGAUUAGCUAGUAGGGGAGGUAACGGCUCAACAAGGCGACGAUCCCUAGCUGGUAUGAGAGGAUGAUCGUCCACACGGGGACUGAGACACGGCCCAGACUCCUACGGGAGGCAGCAGUGGGGAAUAUUGCACAAGGGGCGCAAGCCUGAUGCAGCCAUGCCGCGUGUAUGAAGAAGGCCUUCGGGUUGUAAAGUACGUUCAGUCGGGAGGCGUUACCGACAGAAGAAGCACCGGCUAACUCCGUGCCAGCAGCCGCGGUAAUAC
rnacentral:rRNA from 1 species